rnacentral:misc_RNA from 1 species
ACAUGGAAACCGGAUUGUCCACAUGAAAAACUCUUGGGUGAUCGCUCUCUAAACCAUAGUCCGUCAUCGGACUGUACUCCAGCUCUUCAUCAUGAUCAUAAGCAAAUUCCGGUAUCUCAAUCUCGUUCCUCCAGACGUGGUUCCACAGAAACUCUAACCUACUCAAAUAUUUCAGCUUCCGGUAUAAGCCUCCACUGAAAAGAAGA